UUUAAGGACUGAGAGGGAUUCUGCAGCAUGCUGAAAAAAGCCUUGCAGCUCAGUAAGAAAGAUCCAUCUUGUAAAUGUCCUCCAGAGCCUGCCGCCUCUGAGAAAUGAGCUGCUUCCAGAUGAAUUCCACUGUUCUCAGAAUCUCCUGGCGGACUAGGAAACAAAAGUAUCACCCAAAAAAAUUUCUUCAUUUAUGUUCUCAAGUCAAUCAACAGGUAUUCCUAAGCAAGAGUGACCCAGCCGUAAAUUCAGACAAGGCACCAGCAGCCAACCUCCACAUUGCAGACUGAAGAUACACCCAACCAGAAAGGUGACCUAUCAUCAUCAAGAAUGAAAAAACUGAGUACUGUUGUGGGCAAGACCUGCCUCUGGUCUCUGUAAAACAUGAGCCCAUCACAUGCUGUGCUACAUAGCCAGGGCAGUAGUUGUUGUGCCCCUUGGCAGUCCCUGCUCACUGCCAUGUUCAGUAUUGCCCUCUGAGGGCACAGCAGGAUUUGGGGUUACAGGUAAAGGCUGCCACCAGCACUUGUCACACCUGGGCUCUUUAUUCAGCCAUUCACACUGCACUGUCCUUGCAAUGAAACACUUACCUUGUCCACAGUGAAUCUAACCAUUUCCAGCAGUAACACAGCUGCCUCUGCACACAGCCCAAACUUGAGGACAUUCUCUCUGAGGUGAUGCUGCAAGAUCCACUGCAACAUAGACUCAAGAUCUUUCUACACAGGAGGAAUAACAUUUCAUUAAGAGAUGGGAAUUAUAUAUGAUACAUCAAGAACAAUGCCUGCUGUCUCUACAUCAGAACAAAAUCAACAUUUGUCUACCUUCAGCAGCUUCUUCCUCUCAUUAAAUUUGUAACAUUUAACACCUGCAUGAACAAGGUUGUUCUGAACAUAAAUUUUCUUAAAUAAAAGUUAAUUAACUUAA